rnacentral:lncRNA from 10 species
CUAAAGCGUGCCACGGCCUCCCAACAGAGAUAAUACCUUAUGCUUGACAAAUUGAGAAUUGGCAUCUAAUAACUUGGUAUAUUGAGAAUUAGACUAUACAAAAAUGUAUGUCUGGGAAAAAUAUUUAAAUGCUAUUUUAACUGCCAGAGAGAAAUCUACUAUUAGUGGCUCAUAGUGAUGUAGUUUAGAGAAGCUUAACCAUGGUGACUCUAUAUGGAUACCUUAUACAACAAAAUUAAUAAGUGCACCCAAGUCCAUUCAUUGCCAGCUGAUGAGAGUCUGCAGGCCUGUUUGCUAUUUCGGCUAAUCAGGGAACAGUUCACAAAAACUCAGUUCUUCUUCUAAGUUUCUGGCCUCUCCUUCUGCUGUUGUGGAGACAGUUUUUGCUGUGAUGAGGCACAGAUCAUACAAUCUUUGAGAGUAAAAGGAUGGAUCAAGACCACAGGAAAGAAGGGAUGAAGCUGUGGAGAGUGAGGAUGAGGAACAUUGCAGAUGACUGGAGGCCAGCUCCCUGACCUUCCCCUACUGCCACUGCUGCAGGCCCUGGUCAGGGGAAGUAAAACUGACACUAGCUGUUUAUCAUGCUUUAAGACCAGAAAGUAAAAUGAAAACCAUUACCACCUCUCAGGAUGCAAGAAGGCACAAGAAAGGACUAAACCAGUUGAAGAUGUUAUCUCAAUGGAAGAAGGAAUCCUAAUUAAAUUGAAGUCUUAACAAAAAGACGGUCUAUUUCACAAGACUGAUAGAGACAUAUACUUGAUGAGUCAACUUGGUCUUUUCAAGGCUUUACUCUGGCUUCUCUUCUAUUUAUGUGUACGAUUAGAAGGAUAAACAGCCUAUAAGAGCUUGCUAUCUACCAAAUCCAACCAUGCAGUCUUAAAAAUUACUUCUGGGUUUACAGAUAAUUCUUGUAUCAAAUAAGUUGAUAUGAGGCACCAAGAAUUAGUAGGAUUGGACUAGAGUCAAACCCACUGCACUUAUCAAGGCUUUACCAGACCCUACUGUGUCCUUUAUGUGUUGAAGUCUAAGGAUAUCUAGAAACAUAUGGCAUGAUCACUGCCCUCAGGGAGCUGACAGCAUUGUAUGCUAGCAAGAGGCAAAAACAACAAAAGAGAAUGUAACUUAUAACUGACUGAAAGACCAAUGUGUCAUUUUGGAAGCAGAGAAGCCUGAUUUUGGGCAAACUUUUUAAUGAGAACUUGAGUUUUCGUAUCUGUAAGGUGAAAAUAAGACGAUCAACUUAUGGCUGAAAUGGCAAAGAUACAUUUCCUAUGAGACGGCCUUGUAUAUAAUAAGCAUUCAACACAUAAGAACAGUGAUGAUAAUGCUAAUAAUGAUAUAAUGAUGCCCCUAAGUGACAGAUAGAAAAUAAUUGGACUAUUAGGGAUAUCUCUACAAGCUGGAGUGGUUGAGCAAGGCACCUUAGGGUUAAUGGGAUCAGAACCCAGUGGUUCUGGGCCCUGAAGUAUGAACAAAGGUGAGUAUGCGUUUGGCAUUUACCAACAGUGAACAAGCACGAGCAGUGGAAUGCAAAAAUGUGUGUGCAUCAAAUGAACAUGAAAAUCUUCACCCAGGUCACCUGCCAGAAUCAAACUAAGGUUCCUGGUAUUUAAUGGAAAGGUUAAAAGAAGUUUAUAGCUUUAAUGCCUGUGGCACACUGAUUACUUUUCAAGAUUUUGAGGAUUAAAGCCUAUGAGAGUCUUUUGAGCAAGUUUGAACAGUGGUGUUGGGAAGCAUGAAUGGCAGGUGGCUGGUCUACAGAAUCUCAUCCAGGUUCAAGCUUUUGGACAUGAUGUUAUCAACACCCCACUCAGAUUUCAUGUUUCAUCCUGAGGAUUCUAUCAUUGCUCUAAUCAAGUCAGAUAAUAUGGUCAAUGCUUUAUUUUUAUUUAAAGCAAGGCUUUUAGUACUAUGUAUGCUUUCAGUUAAGCCACAUAGCUGCUCUAGCAUAGUAUUAUUUGUGACCAUAGCUGUUGUCUCCAAAUGGUCAUUAAUAUUCUUGUUAAAAAAAAAAGAGAGAAUAAUCAUUGAGGUUCUCUUUCACAAAGUCUCUAUUCUUAUCAAUGGCCAUAUAAUGCUGAUAUCUUUUGGGUCAAAAUGGAAAGAUUUCAUGCUGUACUUUGAAAUACAGUGUUAUAUAGCACAAUAAGUCUAUUACAGGAAAUCGUAAGUUUAAUGUACAAAGCAUAUUAAAAAAACCCACAAAAUUUGAAUUUUUUUUAACCAGACAUGAAUCCAGUAUUUUGGGUGCAAGCCUUGUUUAAUGUACACCUGCUGAAAACGUUUCAUACAUAAACACAGAUGGAUAUUUCUAUGUAUAUACAUAUAUAUGUAUAUGUGUGUGUGUUUCCAUGUCUGUCGCUAUCUUUAUACCUAACUUGGAAAGUUGAUUACCUUAGUAAUAGUUGGGCAUAUUUUAUCCUGG